rnacentral:rRNA from 1 species
UUUCUUUGGAGAGAUAUAAAAAGUGUCGGGGAACCAGUAGUAUUUUAAUACAUAAUAUUAAAUAACUCAUUUUUCCACUAAGUUUUUCGAGGAUAAGCUCGAAAAAAAAUUAAGAUAUCUAUAAACUUAGUUUGUUGUGUAGGCUUAAGAUUAGCCAUCACAAGAGUUUGUUACAAAACAACCACAAAAAAGCACAAAAUUAAUCUAGUUUUAUCUAAUUUCCUACAAAGAUAAAAGCUUUAAUCCUUAAAAGCUUUAUACCUAUGCUAAAAUGAGUAUUAUAACCAGUCUAGAAGAAAAAGUUAUCUAUUAUUUUUUAUUUAAAAAACACUUUCAGGACUAAAUAGUAGGAAGGAACUCGGCAAAUUAAGUUGCUUCGCCUGUUUAUCAAAAACAUGGCUCUUUGAAUAAUUAAAUAUAAAGAGUCGAGCCUGCCCAGUGAAUUUUUAACGGCCGCGGUACUCUGACCGUGCAAAGGUAGCAUAAUCAUUUGCCUUAUAAUUGAAGGCUAGUAUGAAUGGUUUGACGAGAGCAACACUGUCUCCUUAUUACUUUUUAGAACUUAACUUUUAGGUGAAGAGGCCUAAAUCUUAUUGAAGGACAAGAAGACCCCGUCGAGCUUAAAAGACAUUGUAGAAGUCGAUAUAAUUCUAAAUAAAUAUUCUAUUAAGCUUUUUAGUUGGGGCGACUAAGGAACAAAAGAAGCUUCUUAAUUAAUAAUAUACAGUCAUGUAAAGAUCCGAUACAGUCGAUCAAGGAAAUUAGUUACCGCGGGGAUAACAGCAUAAUCUCUCUUAAGAGACCUAAUCGAAAGAGGGGGUUGUGACCUCGAUGUUGGACUAGAAUAUCCUAAAGAUGCAGAAG